AACGCACAUGGCGCCUUCCAGUAUCCUGGGAGGCAUGCCUGUCCGAGCGUCGUUUCAACCCUCGAGCCCCCGUGGCCCGGCGUUGGGGAUCUGCCCAGGCAGGCCCCGAAAACCAGUGGCGGACCCGUUACAGGCCCUUCCUUUGCGUAGUAAUACUGCCUCGCAUCGGGAGCCGGCGGGCUUCCAGCCUCUAAACCCCCAGCAAGUCCGCCCCGGCGGCACCAAGGUUGACCUCGGAUCAGGUAGGAAUACCCGCUGAACUUAA
rnacentral:misc_RNA from 1 species